GACGAACGCUGGCGGCGUGCUUAACACAGGCAAGUCGAACGGAAAGGCCCUGCUUUUGUGAGGUUCUCGAGUGGCGAACGGGUGUUUAACACGUGAGUAACCUGCCCUUGACUUUGUGAUAACUUCAGGAAACUGGGGCUAAUACCGGAUAGGAGCUCCUGCUGCAUGGUGGGGGUUGGAAAGUUUCGGCGGUUGGGGAUGGACUCGCGGCUUAUCAGCUUGUUGGUGGGGUAGUGGCUUACCAAGGCUUUGACGGGUAGCCGGCCUGAGAGGGUGACCGGCCACAUUGGGACUGAGAUACGGCCCAGACUCCUACGGGAGGCAGCAGUGGGGAAUAUUGCACAAUGGGCGGAAGCAUGAUGCAGCAAAGCCGCGUGCGGGAUGACGGCCUUCGGGUUGUAAACCGCUUUCGCCUGUGACGAAGCGUGAGUGACGGUAAUGGGUAAAGAAGCAACGGCUAACUACGUG
rnacentral:rRNA from 1 species